UUUCACUGGUGACAGUUAGUUCAGCUGUGAGAGCUUGGUGCCAAGGAUGCCAAGGUCAUGGGUUCUAUCCCAUUGCAGGGUAG
rnacentral:miRNA from 1 species